UUGGCCCUUGAAUACAUGUUAUAUAUACACAAAGAACUUAGUUUAGCACCACCUGACAUAUCUCACAAUGAAAUGAGCCCCGAUCUUAACCCUUUGCAGCAUAUCUGGGACAUGAUUGGACGUCGUGUGCA